GAUGAACGCUGGCGGCGUGCCUAAUACAUGCAAGUCGAACGCAUAGCGAAAGGUGCUUGCACCUUUCAAGUGAGUGGCGAACGGGUGAGUAACACGUGGACAACCUGCCUCAAGGCUGGGGAUAACAUUGGAAAAAGGAGCCUAAUACGAAUAAAAACUUGGUGCCCAAUAAACAAAGGUAAAAAGCGGCUCCGGCGUAACCAAAAGAUGAUUCUCGGUUCAUUAGUUAGUUGGUGGGGUAAAGGGCUACCAAGGCAAUGAUGCAUAGCCGAGUUGAGAGACUGAUCGGCCACAUUGGGACUGAGACACGGCCCAAACUCCUACGGGAGGCUGCAGUAGGGAAUCUUCCACAAUGGGCGAAAGCCUGAUGGAGCAACGCCGCGUGUGUGAUGAAGGCUUUCGGGUCGUAAAGCACUGUUGUAUGGGAAGAACAGCUAGAAUAGGAAAUGAUUUUAGUUUGACGGUACCAUACCAGAAAGGGACGGCUAAAUACGUG
rnacentral:rRNA from 1 species